CAUACCUCAGCACUGCACUGCGUUGAACUUGGUAGAGACAUCUCCUUCCUUUGUGCGCUUUGUCCUUCUCUUCUGUCUCUUUAAAAACUCCGAAAAUCAAAAAUCAAAACCUACAAAUCAAAAUUCUCUCAGAGAGAAACUUUUCUCAUUCUUUUGAGUUUUAAAUAAUACCCAUUGAAGGAAAAAAUCGUGGAGAUUGCUGGAUGCUCUUCUGGUUUCAGUUCCUCCUCUAAUGAUGUCUGGGCUAAACUUGUGUUUGACAGCAAGCUUUUCCUUGCUGGGAUCUUGGAUAUCGAUUUAUUCUUCACUGUUGCAGUACCAUCUGACUCAAGAUAUUCUGAUGUUGAGAUAAGAUCAAAUGAAAUGGUGAUCUGCUCUGAGAUUACAGCUUUUUCUCUUGAGAAGCAUGAAUGGAGCAAAAUAACUAGGAAUUCAAAUCGAAGUUCUGCUACGAUCCAAAAUAAGAGGUAAUUUGUAUUUCCUUGAACAGAUCAUUUUUUAGCUGUGCAAUUCUUAUUUCUUGUCUGAGAGGUCCGAAAUCAAUCCUGGGUACUAAGAGCUGAUAAAUCAGUUCAUCAAUUUAUAUUUUAAGGUUUUCCGAGUAAAGUUUUAAAUAGGUUUGUCUUCUCUCAAAGUAAGGAAGUAGAUGGUGCUAUUGUCCUGUAAAAUCCGAAAAUCUAGUUUCCAAUUGCUGAAAGAAGAUUCUUACAGGCAUGGUGGUGCUUUUUGCAUUAUUAGAGAUCGAGGUUGAAACUUAUUUUUCAUUUGUCUAAUAUCAUGGAGGAGUUGAUUUAUGUAUAGAGAUUGAUAUAAUUAAGUAGUAACCCUCCAGAAAUCUCAGACAUGGAUUUCUAUGUUAUCGACUCUUACUAGACAAUUGACUAAAUCACAGGCAAAGGGUUGCCUUCUUGUGGGAGACAAAGAGCUGUAUUUAGUUGAUGAAUCAUAUUGCUUAUAACUCUUGACAAGUGCAUGUAUUUUCAAUCUGAAUGCUCUGAUUUCAGAGAUGGGAACAUGGAAUGGCUUCAUUUGGGAAUGGUCCUUAUCAUGGAGGAGGAGACUUUGGGACUAGGAAAAGGUAGAGAUCACAGAAAGGUGUAUUGGACAGAUGGGAAGAACAUUGCAGGAUGUUAUCUCAGAUUGGAUUGGGAAGUUGAACAACAGAGAAAUUGAUCGAACUAGGAUGCCAUUGAAUCUUGCUGAGAUGAUAACAGUUGGAACACAUGUUUGCAAGUAAGGAUGGAUCCUUUCAUUUUGGAUGUUAAAUUAUUUCAUGAAGUAAUAUACCUCCUUUUCAUGGGGGUUGAAACAGACAUUGAUAUUUUUAGUUUAGGGUGGGUUCAUGUUUGUGUUUUCUAAAUCUUCCAAGGACUAGUGAAAUUCUUGACGACAAUUCUAUACUGACAUAACUUAGAGAGCAGCUAAAACCACUUUCCAACAGGUAAACAGCUGAGUAGUAUAAACAUUUAUGGGAAUUUGUAGUCCUCUUGAAAGUCACAGCUGCUCAGCUACCUUCUGUGGAUGGUACUGUGUUUCAAUUUUAAAUCUGUCUGGGAUUUGAUUUUC